UACAGAGGGUGCGAGCGUUGUUCGGAAUCACUGGGCGUAAAGCGCGCGUAGGCGGCUUUUCAAGUCAGGGGUGAAAUCCCACAGCUCAACUGUGGAACUGCCUUUGAAACUGGAAAGCUGGAGUGUCGGAGGGGAUAGCGGAAUUGCUAAUGUAGAGGUGAAAUUCGUAGAUAUUAGCAGGAACACCGGUGGCGAAGGCGGCUAUCUGGACGACAACUGACGCUGAGGCGCGAAAGCGUGGGGAUCAAACAGG
rnacentral:rRNA from 1 species